GAUGAAGAACGUAGCGAAAUGCGAUAAGUAAUGUGAAUUGCAGAAUUCAGUGAAUCAUCGAAUCUUUGAACGCACAUUGCGCCCGCCAGUAUUCUGGCGGGCAUGCCUGUUCGAGCGUCAUUUCAACCAUCAAGCCCCGGGCUUGUGUUGGGGACCUGCGGCUGCCGCAGGCCCUGAAAUGCAGUGGCGGGCUCGCUGUCACUCCGAGCGUAGUAGUUACAUCUCGCUCUGGGCGUGCUGCGGGUUCCGGCCGUUAAAAGCCUUAUUUACCCAAGGUUGACCCCGGAUCAGGUAGGAAGACCCGCUGAACUUAAGCAUAUCAAUAAGCGGAGGA
rnacentral:misc_RNA from 1 species